ACCCUCAUUCAUUCAUCUUCCCUCUCUAAACAACAACAGCUCUCCUCCCAAUUUACCGAAACCCUGCAAAAAUUCUAAAAAAUUCUAGCUCUCAACUUACUGAAAUCCUCACAAAAAUUCUAAAAAGAUCUUAAACUCAUCAAACAACUCUCCUAAUUUCCUUUGUAGAUCUCUAUUUUCAACUAUGGCUUCUAAACCUAAUUCCGAGACUACAUCUUUGUUAUUUACUGUUUCUGAAGAAAGGCGUGCAGUUCUUACUGGUAAUGUAGAAGUUGUUACUCCUAACACAACAGUUGUUAAAAAGAAAAAGUGGACUAAGGAGGAGAACGAAGCCCUUGAGGCCGGAGUAGAGAAACAUGGGUUUGGGAAAUGGAGUGAAAUAAAAAAGGAUCCGUCAUAUGCUGAUAUACUUUCCGAGAGAACUAAUGUGGAUUUCAAAGACAAAUUUAGAAACGUACAUGAUUCAGAGAAGCUUGCUCUCCAAAGAGCUUCCAGGAAAGAAGUAAAGAAGCAGAAGGAAAUAGAACGUCGUCUAGCCUUUGCUACUGCUGUAGCAGAGGCGGCUGUGUCAAUUGAAGAUUCUGAUCCAAAUCUGUUUGAAAUUGAAAAGGUAAAUGAGAGUUUGAUGGACAGAAGAAUAACUGUUAGAGGGGUAGUUGCUUCCACAACUCAUGUCAUCAAAGAGAUUGGAUCUGUAGUUUUGAAAGAGGGCGAGUUCACUAUUAAGUGUGUUCUUAACACGGCGGACAAUCUCAUUCGUCCACAAGAUGCCAAGGAUGUGACAAAUUUUGCAGAACAUUCAUAUCUGGCUUUCCAAGGGGUUGUUUCGCUUCCUAGCACUAGAAUUAAGGGAUCGAUGAAGAACAUAUCCCAGAAGGUUGUGCUUCAAGUCAGCCAAAUCUAUGGCAUUGGUAAAACUCUUCCCCCGGCUCCAGUAGAAACCGAUACCUCUGCACGGAGUGAAGCUGUUAUUGAGAAAGAUAUGGAGGUUGGAGAACCGUCUAGGGUUUCAGAUGUCCCCGCCCCUGCUAACCAAAAGCGUGUACAAGCCUUUGUUUCUGCUCUAGCAGAGGCAGCUGUGUCAAUCGAAGAUUCUGAUCCAAAUCUGUUUCCAGUGGAAAAGGUUGAUGAAAGUAUGUUCGGUAGAAAAAUAUCUGUUCGAGGGGAAGUUGCCUCCACAAUUCAUGUCCAUAGAAGGAUUGGAUCGGUCGUUUUGAAAGAGGGCGAGUUCAGUAUCAGGUGUGUUCUUAACACUGCUGACGAUCUCAUUGGUCUACAAGAUGCCAAGGAUGUAACCAAUUUGGCAGAACAUUCGUAUCUGGCUUUGGAAGGGGUUGUAUCACUUCCUGACACUAGAGUUCAGGGAUCCAUGAAGGACUUAUCCCAGCAGGUUGUAAUUCUAGUUGGCAAAAUCUAUGGCAUUGGGAAAACUCUUCCCCCGGCUCCAGUAGAAACUAAUACCGCAGCACGGAGUGAAGCUUUUGUUGAAAAACCUAUGGAGGUUGGAGUACCGUCUAGGGUUUCAGAUGUGCUCGAACUUGUUAACCAAGGGAUUCUACGCAUUCAGUCUUGCGCUGAACUUGUAUUGAGGGAGUUUUUCUCAUCUAGAAAAUUUAUUGGAAUGCGUACUCAAAAACUGAUUGCAGGCUCGAGCAGUGGUGCACCUUUCUGUAAACUUAACUGGGAAGGAUACCCAACUUGCCUAGCUCAUUCACCUCAAUUUGCAAGGCAGAUGGCAAUCCGUGGUGGUUCUGAGCGUGUUUUUGAGAUAGGACCUGUUUUCAAGGAGGACUCUAUAAGCAAACAGUUGUGUGAAUAUACUGGUGUUGAUGUUGAAAUGCGAAUUGAUAGACACUAUUUUGAGGUAGUGGAAUUCGUAGAGAGUCUGUUUGUUGACAUGUUUAACAAAUUGCAUGAGAAGUGCAAGGAAGACUUCCAAGCCAUUCAGAACCAGCAUCCCUAUGAAAAGUUAAAGUACUUCCAGUUUAAUGCGAAAGUUCCUUUCGAUGUUGGACUUCAACUGUUAGAGAAUGCUGGCACUAAAGUUAUUCAUCCGCUUCGUGGCUUAAACCCAGAAGAGGAGAGGAAGUUAGGGAAGAUUGUGCUCGAAGAAUAUGAAACUGAGUUCUAUAUACUUUACGACUGUCCAUCUGCUGGUAGUACAUUUUACACCAAGCAAUCUCCUGAUGUGCACCAUAGCAGCAACUCAUUUGAUGUCUUUCUUCGAGGGAAGAAAAUCCUGUCUGGUGGCGAACGUGAGAUUGAUCCUGAUGCAUUGUAUUCAAGGGCGGCAGAUCUUAAAAUAUCUGGAACUGAUCUUGGUGAUUGGGAUUCUGUAUGCACGUAUAUUGAGGCAUUUCAGUGCACCAUGCCUCGACAUGGGGGAUUUGGAGUAGAUUUAAAUCAAGUCACGACAAUGUUAUUUUCUACUAACGACACCGAUAAAGCAGGUGUUGAUGGCAAAGAGGCAGCUGUGAAGGGAAUAGAGGCAGCAGGUGUGCAAAGUAAGGAUGGCAAAGACACAAGCCGGAAAGCGAGGAACAAAGCUCGUGUGAAAGACAAGGGAAAGUAGUAAAGCUAAAUCUGGUGUAAGUCCAUCCUGUGAGUAGAAGGUGGAGGCCUUCUUUAAGAUUCAGGUCUCUGUAUGUCUUAAUGGAUGACGGAUUCUCAAGAAUACUAUGUGCUUGAUACAACAUUUUUAUCUAUAACUGAACUCAUUGCAUGAUCCUAUAUUUGGAAGGAAUGAAGAGAAAGAGGUUGGGCAUGUCUGGAACAAAGCAGUGGAUUCUGCACUGGGCACUGUGAUUGCAGCUUUUAGCUCCCGCUGGUGGUGCCACCUCUCAUUGGUUUCAACAUUGAAGUGCUGUUUCUCUGUCGCCAUAGCACUUCACUAUUAUACUCUGAUUGUAUUUCUUCCUCUCUUACCAAGACCAUGCAUCUCGUCCUUAACCGUGCUAUAAUUAGGCCUACCUUUUUUUUCUUCUCUCCUUGAAUGGAUUGGCUAAAUGACUAUAUAUUAUUCGAAUAACGAUUAUUAAUACAUACAGGCCUAGAAAUUAUGUACCUUUUCUUGUACUUUCCUAGAAAGAGAAGAUCAGCCCCCCAAAAUCCAUUUCUUUCUUUGGAAAA